rnacentral:lncRNA from 1 species
UGUUCUGAUGCUGUCUCCUGCUCUGUUGAAGGUGUCUGCAUGGCAGCAGCAGCAGCAGUAGAUGUUGUAGGCACCUCUCCAGGGGUGUUGCUGCAGGAGGAUUACAUGUCGACAUCUGGUAGUGCCAGCAGGAGUGGUGCUAGUGACAUCACCAAAGUAGUACCAGGCACAACCAAGCCACAGAUCAAUCUCAUAAUCAAUGUGGCUGCACCCGCAUUAGUAAGGCUGCCUCGUGGCUGGAUGUAUGGACCCUGCCCCGAUAGCGUGGAUCUGUCAGCGCCCUCGACACCAUUUUGUGAACCGGGCGCCACAGCGGUCGACCCCAUUCGAGCCAUCAAUCUGACAGACCGGGUGAUCGUGUGCCCGCCACAAUCUUGCCUCCGCCACAGUACUGCUGACGGCGACAGCAACAGUACUACUGCUAUGAUAAGCUGUCCAUUAGAACUACUGAUGAGACAAUAUACCCUGGGCAGGACAGGACUAGCAGGAUGUGGCAUUAACACACUGGCACCAACCGGCACAGUCUAUCACAUUGACUUUUGGGUGUGGGAUGAUGCUCAGCCACCGAACAAUGCGACGGCCCGCCGCACUGUCAUAAUUACCGAUCCGUGCAUUGACAAGGCUUUACCAUACUUCUGCCCUGAUCAAUCCGGCGGAUACGUAUGCUCUCCAGUUACCUGUACUGCCGCGUCCUUCCUGCUGUCACCCACUGCUGCUCCCGGCCCCAACAUCACAUUGCUACCACCUGAUGAUGUGGCUUUUGUGGAAUAUGGUAGCGUGUCUUCCGUCUACCUAGGGCCGUGCACAUCACUAUCUGACACACGCAGUUGCGGCGCCACUGCAGUGGGUUAUUUGCUUCCCACCUCAACCACGGGUAACAUCACGGUCGUGGAUCUGACAGCCCAGCUCAGUGUAAUCAACGUCACGCCUUGCAAUAUGACAUCAACCGUUAGCAGCGCCAGCUGCCAGUCUUGCAGCUUAGAGGCACUUGCUGCGGGUAGCAGUGGUUGCUUGCCUGGCGUCUACACAUUCCAGUACUCAGUAGUGGAUGACCAGGGUGCCGCUGCAACUGCCAACCGGACCGUUGUUGUUUACCAGAAAGCCACCAUCAACGCGAACCUGCAGCUGCUGCGGCAGGUGCCACAGCUAACCGGUGUCGAAACCGCAAACCUACCGGUGGACCUGCUGAACAGCUCCCAUCCUGAGCACAAAUUCGCUGUGGAGGAGAUCGCGACUCGUCUGACGAAGUACGGUGUGCAGAGCUGUGACGUAGAUAUUUUGUCAGCAAUGGUAGAUUAUCCUCUUGGAGGCUUCCCGCCGCAUAUUAACUACAGCACAUCGAUAACUGUGAUCAUCAGUGCAGCCAUACACAUCUACAGUCCUCGCGGUGUGCACCGCUCAGCUGCAGGGUUAGCUUUUACAGCACCCUUUACCGGCGACAAGGAACUCCAACCGCAGUACAGACGACGGCGGCGCCAGCUCCAUAACAGCAAUAACGACGCUACUACCACGAAACGCCUGAUUGCAGCAGCGGGGGGCGACGGCAUUUAUUUCCCCAACGACAGCGGAAGCAGAGUUUGGAAUAACGUUUUUUGGUUAUCAGGAGAUGAGAUGGCCUUGGAGCAGGUGGUGAAGGACUUUUGGAGGGGUCUAGCGCAGCGGCAGUUGCAAGAGCUCCGGAAGUUGGAAGGCGGCAAGCCGACCCACCCGCCCACAAGCCGACCCACCGACCCACCCAAGGGGGCUUCCACAGGCUUCCGGGAGCAACUGCAACAUCGUCG